rnacentral:rRNA from 1 species
AUUGAACGCUGGCGGCAGGCCUAACACAUGCAAGUCGAGCGGAUGGAGGGAGCUUGCUCUUGGAUUCAGCGGCGGACGGGUGAGUAAUGCCUAGGUAUCUGCCUGGCAGUGGGGGCUAACGUCCGGAAACGGGCGCUAAUACCGCAUACGUUCUGAGGGUGAAAGUGGGGGAUCAUUGGACCUCAAGCUAUCAGAUGAGCCUAGGUCGGAUUAGCUAGUUGGUUGGGUAAAGGCCUACCAAGGCGACGAUCCGUAACUGAUCUGAGAGGAUGAUCAGUCACACUGGAACUGAGACACGGUCCAGACUCCUACGGGAGGCAGCAGUGGGGAAUAUUGGACAAUGGGCGAAAGCCUGAUCCAGCCAUGCCGCGUGUGUGAAGAAGGUCUUCGGAUUGUAAAGCACUGUAAGUAGGGAAGAAGAGCAGUAAGUUAAUACCUGGCUGUUUUGACGGUACCAACAGAAUAAGCACCGGCUAACUUCGUG